AUGCAUCAGCAGGUCAGUUUACUCCUCACCCUCAUCCUCCUCCUGGCUACCGGAGAAGGCAGCCUCGCCGUCGGCACUCCGUCCGCGAUCAUCAGAACGACAUGCGCUGCUGUCGGUCGACCCGGCGGGGAAGUGGGUUACGACACCUGCGUGGGCUUGCUCUCGGCCGACCCGGCGGCCGCGGCCGCCAAGGACGCAGGUCAGCUCGCCGUCGUCGCCACCAACCUCACCGUGGCCAACGUCACGUCGACGGUGCUCGUCCUCGACGACCUCGUCAAGAACCUCGGGGACUGCCUCCGCUACUACAGGGACAUGAACAAGACCCUGGACGCCGCGCUCGGUGACCUACGUGCCGGGCGCGUCGAGGCGGCGUCCGGCAAAUUGUUGGAUGCCAAUGGAGUGCCCGACAGCUGCGACAUCCAAUUGUUCGAGGGGAGUGCGAAGAAGAAUCCGAUGAGGAAGGAGAACACCGACGCCGAUUUGCUGUCCCGACUGGCAUACGCCAUUACUGACUUGCAGCUGCCGAAUCCUCCUCGGCACCGACGUUAA
rnacentral:rRNA from 1 species